UACGUAGGGUGCGAGCGUUGUCCGGAAUUAUUGGGCGUAAAGAGCUCGUAGGCGGUGUGUCACGUCGGCCGUGAAAACCUGGGGCUUAACUCUGGGCGUGCGGUCGAUACGGGCAUCACUAGAGUUCGGCAGGGGAGACUGGAAUUCCUGGUGUAGCGGUUAAAUGCGCAGAUAUCAGGAGGAACACCGGUGGCGAAGGCGGGUCUCUGGACAGUUCCUGACGCUGAGGCACGAAGGUCAGGGGAGCAAACGGG
rnacentral:rRNA from 1 species